GCAGAAUUGAGGUCUGUCGCUGCAUCCUCCCUUUCAACGGUGAGGAUGGAGAGGAAAGUCCGGGCAACGAAGAGCACCGCACAUCCUAACGGGAAGCCGGCGGCGACGUCGGGGCAAGUGUGACAGAAAAUGACCGCCCUCUCUCGUGGAGGGUAAGGGUGAAAAGGUGGUGUAAGAGACCACCGGCUCCGUUGGCGACAACGGAGGCCGCACAUCCUGCGGGUUGCAAGGCCAAAUAUACCGGCAAUCAAGGGCUGCUCGUCCAUUGCCGGGGGGUAGGCUGCUCCAGCUGCCGGGAGAUCGGCAGUGUAGAUAAAUGACAGACACCCUCCUCCGGGAGGGCACAUAACCCGGCUUAUAUCUCUUCUGCAUCU
rnacentral:RNase_P_RNA from 1 species